rnacentral:lncRNA from 1 species
CUCAUACUAGUGGAGUUGGAUGACACUUUAAAUAUAGGAUAUGUUUCCUCUAUUUUUCCGAUGUGGGAUUGUUUGCUUCCCAACAAUCAUCCCCUUAAACCAAGACCACAUCACCUGUGACCUCCGAUCCCCUUCAGUACCGCCGUUAACACCCAGCGGGACACGCCGCCUGACCACUAGUUGUCAGGAAGACUUUUGACACAAGACAUCAACCGUAGAUCUCAACUACUAGGUCACACUUCACAUGAUCUGCCAAACAUACAUCUUGUACCGCCGUUAACACCCAACGGGACACGCCACCUAACCACCAAUCGUCAGGAAGACUUUCGACACAAGGCACCACCUGCAGAUCUCCAGUCUUGUCGUUUUUCACCGGGAACUUCACAUCAACUGCAAUCCACUACUUCGACACACCCGAACCUUGGCUCUGAUACCAAUUGUAGAACAACGGACACCUCAAGAUCAAACACCGACACUAGAGAAAAUUACUAAACCGAGACCUCAAGAAAAAAAACAAGAAAAGAUGCUUAUAGAGAAAGAAGAGAAGUAAGCAAUAGAUAAACUUG